AACGAACGCUGGCGGUAUGCCUAACACAUGCAAGUCGAACGAGACCUUCGGGUCUAGUGGCGCACGGGUGCGUAACGCGUGGGAACCUGCCCUUAGGUUCGGAAUAACUCCCCGAAAGGGGUGCUAAUACCGGAUAAUGUCUUCGGACCAAAGAUUUAUCGCCUUUGGAUGGGCCCGCGUUGGAUUAGCUAGUUGGUAGGGUAAAAGCCUACCAAGGCGACGAUCCAUAGCUGGUCUGAGAGGAUGAUCAGCCACACUGGGACUGAGACACGGCCCAGACUCCUACGGGAGGCAGCAGUGGGGAAUAUUGGACAAUGGGCGAAAGCCUGAUCCAGCAAUGCCGCGUGAGUGAUGAAGGCCUUAGGGUUGUAAAGCUCUUUUACCCGGGAUGAUAAUGACAGUACCGGGAGAAUAAGCUCCGGCUAACUCCGUG
rnacentral:rRNA from 1 species